UACGUAGGGUGCGAGCGUUGUCCGGAAUUAUUGGGCGUAAAGGGCUCGUAGGCGGUUUGUCGCGUCGGGAGUGAAAUCCACUGGCUUAACUGGUGGCUUGCUUUCGAUACGGGCAGACUGGAGGUAUGCAGGGGGAGAACGGAAUUCCUGGUGUAGCGGUGAAAUGCGCAGAUAUCAGGAGGAACACCGGUGGCGAAGGCGGCUCUCUGGACCGAGACUGACGCUGAGGCGCGAAAGCGUGGGGAGCAAACAGG
rnacentral:rRNA from 1 species